rnacentral:rRNA from 1 species
AUUGAACGCUGGCGGAAUGCUUUACACAUGCAAGUCGAACGGCAGCACGGAGAGCUUGCUCUCUGGUGGCGAGUGGCGAACGGGUGAGUAAUAUAUCGGAACGUGUCCAAUAAUGGGGGAUAACGAGUCGAAAGAUUCGCUAAUACCGCAUACGCCCUACGGGGGAAAGCAGGGGAUCGUAAGACCUUGCGUUAAUGGAGCGGCCGAUAUCUGAUUAGCUUGUUGGUGAGGUAAAGGCUCACCAAGGCGACGAUCAGUAGCUGGUUUGAGAGAACGACCAGCCACACUGGAACUGAGACACGGUCCAGACUCCUACGGGAGGCAGCAGUGGGGAAUUUUGGACAAUGGGGGCAACCCUGAUCCAGCCAUUCCGCGUGAGUGAAGAAGGCCUUCGGGUUGUAAAGCUCUUUCGCGAGGGAAGAAAACUUAUGAUCGAAUAAAUCAUGAGGUUGACGGUACCUUGAUAAGAAGCACCGGCUAACUACGUGCCAGCAGCCGCGGUAAUACGUAGGGUGCGAGCGUUAAUCGGAAUUACUGGGCGUAAAGCGUGCGCAGGCGGUUUUGUAAGUCGGAUGUGAAAUCCCCGGGCUCAACCUGGGAACUGCGUUCGAAACUGCAAGGCUAGAGUGUGUCAGAGGGGGGUAGAAUUCCACGUGUAGCAGUGAAAUGCGUAGAGAUGUGGAGGAAUACCAAUGGCGAAGGCAGCCCCCUGGGAUAACACUGACGCUCAUGCACGAAAGCGUGGGGAGCAAACAGGAUUAGAUACCCUGGUAGUCCACGCCCUAAACGAUGUCAACUAGUUGUUGGUAGAGUAAAAUCUAUGAGUAACGUAGCUAACGCGUGAAGUUGACCGCCUGGGGAGUACGGUCACAAGAUUA